UACGAAGGUCCCAAGCGUUAUCCAGAUUUAUUGGGUUUAAAGGGUGCGUAGGCGGAUUAUUAAGUCAGUGGUGAAAGCUCUCAGCCUAACUGAGAAAUUGCCAUUGAUACUGAUGAUCUUGAGUACAUUUGAAGUGGGCGGAAUGUGUCAUGUAGCGGUGAAAUGCUUAGAUAUGACACAGAACACCGAUUGCGUAGGCAGCUCACUAAACUGUAACUGACGCUGAGGCACGAAAGCGUGGGGAGCAAACAGG
rnacentral:rRNA from 1 species